GGCAAAGAUGAUUAAGUGCUUAAUAUUCUGACACCUCUUGUAUGAGAAUAGCGAAAGCUGUUCCUUGAGCACAUAAAGCUACACUCUGAGCCUUCGUCAUUUAAUUUCUUUUUGUUGUAUUUGACAAAUGUUUUGUGAGUUUAUCGAUCAGAAAUUCAGGCAACCACCUUUCGUAAAUCGCUCGAAUGGUAGGUGUUGUUCUGUUCGUAAAUCAAUUUCUUUUGCUCUUCAGAUUUGUUGAGAUUCAUCGUCUAUGAAGCUGGUCUAGUAAGCAAAAGUACAUU
rnacentral:lncRNA from 1 species